rnacentral:rRNA from 1 species
GCUGGCGGCGCGCCUAACACAUGCAAGUCGAGCGAGAACCAGGGCUUCGGCCUUGGGGACAGCGGCGAACGGGUGAGUAACACGUGGAUAACCUGCCCUCGGCACCGGAAUAGCCCGGGGAAACCCGGAUUAAUGCCGGAUAGCCCCACAUCCCUGCGGGGAACGUGGGAAAAGGUAGCUUCGGCCUCUGGCCGAGGAUGGGUCCGCGGUGGAUUAGCUUGUUGGCGGGGUAACGGCCCACCAAGGCGACGAUCCAUAGCUGGUCUGAGAGGACGAUCAGCCACACUGGGACUGAGACACGGCCCAGACUCCUACGGGAGGCAGCAGUGGGGAAUCUUGCGCAAUGGGCGAAAGCCUGACGCAGCGACGCCGCGUGCGGGAAGAAGGCCUUCGGGUUGUAAACCGCUUUCAGGAGGGACGAAGCCACUCGGGUUAAUAGCCCAGAGGGUGACGGUACCUCCAGAAGAAGCCCCGGCUAACUACGUGCCAGCAGCCGCGGUAAUACGUAGGGGGCAAGCGUUGUCCGGAUUCAUUGGGCGUAAAGAGCGUGUAGGCGGCCAGGUAGGUCGGUUGUGAAAACUGGAGGCUCAACCUUCAGAGGUCGAC